GUAAAGUAGUGAAGUGUUCUCGAGGUUAGAUAGGUGUUUUAUCUUCCUAUGAGAUUGUAAAACGUUGACUUGUUGGUUGAAUUUAUUUAGUCUUUCCAAUUCUAAAACUUUGGCAAGUGGUGUAUUCCUGUAUUUGGGUUGUAAAGGAAGCUUGAAUAUGGUGACUUUGUUACCAUGUUUAAAGCUCUUGCCUAAGAAAAUCUACUUGUCUACGCAUAUUCUCGCCUCUCUCGUUCUCUCUAUAUGAUAAUCUGAAGAUAUUCGCGAAGUUUUUAAUCAUAAUGAUAUUCUCGCCUCUCUCGUUCUCUCUAUAUGAUAAUCUGAAGAUAUUCGCGAAGUUUUUAAUCAUAAUGAUAUGCAACAAAUCAUAUAACUUUCCUUGCUCGUUCUCUUUUGGUCUAAAUAAAUAUAUUGAUAACCUGAGGGUGAAAUAGUUUUCUAUAUAUGCAAUCCUAUGGCUGAGAAAAGAAUGAUCCCUCGUUAAAAUUAUGUGAUGUUUGCUUUGAUGUGAUUGUUUUUCGUAGCCCCAAAUGAAUACUAAGGACGUAUGUUCCCAAUCCCUCUUAUUUGUUUGCCUUAUUUGUUUACGGUUGAUUAACAUUUGCUUAGGAUGUACAAUCAAUCACCUUUCUUUCUUUUAGUUUACUGUAUAGUGGUUUAAAAUUAGAUAUGAAUAAUAACUCUUAGAAAAUAGGAUUCUAUUAACUUAUGAUUUAUUUUUUCUUUGAUCUUUUGUCAACUUUCCCUCUCCCUUGUUAAAUAUUUAAAGCAUCCACUCAAUGACCUCGCUUGGCGAAAGAUUUUCAUAGUGUUAAAUGUAAUUGUUUGACUGCACUCGCUCGGAAUUAUGAAGCUUUUCUUUGAAUCCAGCUUGUCUUCUCUACGAACUUGAAUUUUUGUGGUCAUAUGCUUUCCCCAGUUCGUGAAGUAUAUUUUUUCCUGUAUUCGUUGCUUGUAUAUCCUUUACAGUAUCGUAAGUCCUCUCUCAUGUUAAGCCGACAGUUUGAACUGAGUAUAAAUUCUGUUAUACUUUCUCUUUGCAUGAACUUGCCUUGGAGUCCAACUGGACUCAAUUUUGCCUUGCAUUUUCUGCAUGGCCAAUGAAGCCCAUCUUCUCGAGUCAAGAUUCAGAAUAAGUCCGAAAUCAACUACAUAGCGCAUAAAUGCAAGGAGUCGAAAGAAAAAGAAUGAGUUAAAGUCCACUUUAAGGCGGCUAAAAGACUUGAAUGUCUCAUUUUAUUUAUUUAUUCAUUCAUUUCAUUGUUGUGUUUAAUUAUUUAUUUAUUUAUUUAUUUAUUUAUUUAUUUAUUCAUUUCAUUAUUCAGUCAUUUGGGCUUCGAAGCCAAAGUUGUAAAUUUAAUACAGGUGGAACAGAUUUUGGGCCAACAGGCCUGAAAAUAUAGUUUAGGGCAUGUUACGGGCUAAGGCCCAACAUUUAGAUUAGGACAGGUGCAAGUGGGCCAAAAGCCCAAUUAGAUUAGAGGAAAAUUUUCAGAAAUAGCAACUAUAUAACAUUAAUUGUAACUUUUAUAACAACAGUUUCAUAAUUACGAAAAAUAGCAAAUUGUAUUUUGUAUUUAAGUAAACUGUUGCUAUACAAAUAUAUAUAUAUACAACAAGAUUUACUGUCCUUAUUUUACUCAAAUUAGUUAAUUUAAAUAUGGAAUAUUUAUCUCAUCUAAUUAAAUUCUCAUAAAUUACUCUUAUUUAAAUUAGUAGAUUCCUUUUCUAAAUCAAACUCAAAUAUGAAGAUUAUUGUUUCUAUGAUCUUCAAAAUUUUAAAAUAUCAUUCUUUUAUAUUUCUAGCUAUUUUUUCUUGUUAGUUUUUUCAUUUUUUUUAUCUUUUUUUUAUUUUAAUUUCUUUUCUUUUUUCAUUUUUGUAUUUCUACUUUAUUUUCU
rnacentral:lncRNA from 1 species